rnacentral:rRNA from 1 species
AUUGAACGCUGGCGGCACGCCUAACACAUGCAAGUCGAACGGGGCAGCAAUGCCUAGUGGCGGACGGGUGAGGAAUACGUAGGAAUCUGCCCUUAAGUGGGGGAUAACCAGGGGAAACCCUGACUAAUACCGCAUGAUCUCUUCGGAGCAAAGAGGGGGACCGCAAGGCCUCUCGCUUCUGGAUGAGCCUACGUCUGAUUAGCUAGUUGGUAGGGUAAAGGCCUACCAAGGCGACGAUCAGUAACUGGUCUGAGAGGAUGAUCAGUCACACCGGAACUGGGACACGGUCCGGACUCCUACGGGAGGCAGCAGUGGGGAAUAUUGGAACAUGGGCGCAAGCCUGAUCCAGCCAGUCCGCGUGUGUGAAAAAGGCCUUCGGGUUGUAAAGCACUUUAGCCUGGAAAGAAAAAACUUUGGUUAACACCCAAAGUCUUGACGGUACCAGGAGAAUAAGCACCGGCUAACUCUGCGCCAGCAGCCGCCGUAACAC